CGAACUCAAUUGAUGAACGCGUUCAACCACUUUCUUCUCUGAAGAUCUCCGAUUCCCAGCCUUCGCCUUCGAUCCCUCCUCCCCAAUCUCCGGCCAAGGGUCUCCAAUCCCCAUGGCUUCUUGGCUUAAGGUCGCUGAAGACUUGCUGGAAGUUGUGGAUAGAAGAGCAAAACUUGUUGUGAGUGAGUUGUCAGAUGAGCAGUCUGGCACACAACCAUCAGGAUCUACUGGUCAUGAGGCUCCAGCCAGAGGAGUACGAGCGAAGGAGAAGGGUCACUCAAGAGUUUCUAGUAAUGGCAUUCCAAAAAAUAUCAAACCUGGAAAGGAGGAAAGUGUACAACUAUUGGUUCCAUCUGUAAACCGUGAAAAAUCUGAGAUUCCUCCAUCUGAAAAUGCUGUGGUUGCUAAUGCUGAUAUUAUUGCUGAAGUGAGCACAGAUCCACUAUCUGAAACUAGUAAGGAGAAUAUAGAAGCUUCUGAUGUUCCUUUGGAAGAAGCUCAAAAUGAGAAAGGUGAUGAUGAAGCUGCCAAUUUGACAGAGGUUCCAGUUACAGACAAUGGCAAUGAGAUCACAACUUCCUCUACUAUUGAUGAUGCCUCUGAUUUAAACUCAAAUGAUAGGUUGGAAAAGCCAUUUGUAGGCAAUGGAGAUGACAAUAUUGUUGGCGAUCUUUCCCAAGAUACUGAACUUAAAGUUGAUUCUGCUGAUAAGGAUGCAUCUAUGCUGGUUGACCAAGGUGAACUGGAAUCUGCAACAGUGAAAAGCGAGAUCACUGGCAGCACCAAAAAAAUUGAUAGAGAUCCAUUGCCAGACCCUUCACAGAAGAUGAAGCCUUUUGAGAAUAAGAUUAAUGCUUCCACCAUGAAAAUUCAAGAACAACUUGAUGAGGCUCAGGGACUACUGCAGAGUACAAAGUCUACUGGUCAGUCGAAAGAAGCUAGAUUAGCCAGAGUUUGUGCUGGGCUCUCAUCUCGCCUUCAAGAGUACAAAGCAGAGAAUGCACAGUUGGAGGAACUUCUUGUUGCAGAGAGAGAACUUUGUAAUUCGUAUGAAGUUCGCAUAAAGCAGCUUCAACAAGAACUAUCCGCAUUUAAGUCAGAAGCAGCUCGAGCAGAAUCAAGUAUGUCUGAGGCUUUGGCUGUGAAAAACUCUGAAAUUGAUGCUCUUGUGAACUCACUUGAAGUUCUGAAGAAACAAGCUUCUGCAUCUGAAGGAAAGGCCACAUCUUUACAGGUUAAUAUGGAGGAGAUUAUGAGGAGCCGAGAGCUAACUGAAACUCGGAUGAUGCAGGCUUUACGAGAAGAGCUUUCUUCUGCAGAGCGUCGAGCUGAAGAAGAGCGAGCUGCACAUAAUGCCACGAAAAUGGCAGCAGUGGAAAGAGAAGUUGAACUGGAACAUCGAGCCCUUGAAGCGUCCAAUGCUCUUGCACGAAUCCAGAGAGCAGCAGAUGACAGCCAAUCUAGGGCAAUGGAUCUUGAACAUAAACUUGCUUUGCUUGAGGUUGAAAACUCAUCUCUGACCCAGAAACUGGAGGAAUUGGAAGUUCGUUCUCGUCGUGGGCAGAAGAAGACAUCUGAAGAAGCUAGUCAGAUCCUUCAGAUGCAGGCAUGGCAGGAAGAGGUGGAGCGUGCACGUCAAGGCCAAAGGGAUGCGGAGAGCAAGAUCUCUUCUAUGGAGGUUGAGCUACAAAAGAUGAGGGUGGAAAUGGCUGGAAUGAAAAGGGAUGCCGAACAUUAUUCACGUCAGGAACACAUUGAGUUAGAGAAACGAUACAGAGAGCUGACUGAUUUAUUGUAUCACAAGCAAACACAGCUAGAAGCCAUGGCCAGUGAAAAGGCUGCUGCAGAGUUCCAACUAGAGAAAGAGGCAAAACGGCUUCAAGAUGCACAGGCUGAAGCAGAAAGAAGUAGAGCUUACCGUCGAUCAUCUUCUGUAUGGGAGGAAGACACUGAUUUAAAAGCUCUUGAUACUGAUUAUUGUCCGACAGGCCUCUCCCCUUGCAUAAUAGACAUAUGGCUGCAGCCAAUGUUCAGUUGCAAAAAGCUGCUAAGCUUUUGGACUCAGGAGCUGUUAGGGCAACUAGAUUUCUGUGGCGGUAUCCAAUUGCUCGACUGAUUGUACUCUUUUAUCUGGUCUUUGUGCAUUUCUUCUUGAUGUAUUUGUUGCAUCGUCUUCAGGAACAAGCAGACGAUUUUGCCUCGAGAGAGCUUGCAGCUUCAAUGGGUCUUAAGAAUUCAAGCUUGUUGUAAAUUGUCGUCAAACGGCCAAAUACCGGCAAAUACUUGGUCCCCAGUCCAGCAUCAGAUGGCAUUUCCUCAUAGUAUAACUGUAUAAGUACCACAGUGAUGUUCUAACUUUUG